rnacentral:rRNA from 1 species
CCUACGGGAGGCAGCAGUGGGGAAUCUUAGACAAUGGGGGAAACCCUGAUCUAGCCAUGCCGCGUGAUCGAUGAAGGCCUUAGGGUUGUAAAGAUCUUUCAGUGGGGAAGAUAAUGACGGUACCCACAGAAGAAGCCCCGGCUAACUCCGUGCCAGCAGCCGCGGUAAUAAUCACUA